GAUCCUGGCUCAGAUUGAACGCUGGCGGAAUGCUUUACACAUGCAAGUCGAACGGUAGAGGGGGCAACCCUUGAGAGUGGCGAACGGGUGAGUAAUAUAUCGGAACGUGCCCAGUCUGGGGGAUAACGUAGCGAAAGUUACGCUAAUACCGCAUACGAUCUACGGAUGAAAGCGGGGGACUCGCAAGAGCCUCGCGCGAUUGGAGCGGCCGAUAUCAGAUUAGGUAGUUGGUGGGGUAAAGGCUCACCAAGCCAACGAUCUGUAGCUGGUCUGAGAGGACGACCAGCCACACUGGAACUGAGACACGGUCCAGACUCCUACGGGAGGCAGCAGUGGGGAAUUUUGGACAAUGGACGCAAGCCUGAUCCAGCAAUGCCGCGUGCAGGACGAAGGCCUUCGGGUUGUAAACUGCUUUUGUACGGAACGAAACGGCUCUCUCUAAUAAAAGGGGCUAAUGACGGUACCGUAAGAAUAAGCACCGGCUAACUACGUG
rnacentral:rRNA from 1 species